rnacentral:rRNA from 1 species
CGUAGACGGAUCGCCGCGUCGAGUGCUGAAAUCCCCCGGCUCAACCGGGGAAGUGGCCUCGAUACGGGCGGCCUCGAGGCGAGGAGGGGAACCCGGAACGUCCGGUGGAGCGGUGAAAUGCGUUGAGAUCGGACGGAACGCCGACGGCGAAAGCGGGGUCCUGGACUCGUACUGACGUUGAGGCGCGAAAGCCAGGGGAGCGAACGGGAUUAGAUACCCCGGUAGUCCUGGCCGUAAACGAUGGGGACUGGGUAGGGGCUCGCCGAUGGGCUCUCUGCCGUAGCGAAAGCGUGAAGUGCCCCGCCUGGGGAGUAUGGUCGCAAGGCUGAA